UGAACACAUGAGUGAGUGGAGCAGAGAGCAGAGAUGGCAACAUAGCACACUAAGAAACACAAAAUGAAGUUGUGGAGUGAGUUGGAAGAGAACAAAAGAGGAAUCUGAAGGGUCAGUUCCGGCGGCCAGAGGCACCCCUGAGGUCGAGCAGAGCGAGAAUUUGUAUUUUCUCGAUUAUUGUGCAUGGGAGCGCCUCAGUGUGUAAGCGUUUGUUAUAAGAUGCAGAAAUAUUAUGGUUCUAUAGAGCCUUUUUGAAAGACUAAUAGCUCAUAGAGCUUUAUUGAGUGACUAGUAAACUAAAGGGAGGAAGAAGAUUAAAUUGGCUGAACGAAUUAAAAGACAAUAUUGUAUUUCAUCCAAAAUGAGAAAGGAAGAGGCUACAACUGUGCAGCCAAAGUUACAAAGUUAAAUGCAUAACAUCACUACUUAUAGGAAGCUACUUGUGAGGAGAACCCUAAACACAUGGGCUUAAAACAUUAUAUUGGCCUUGAUGACUUUGCUUUGGGCUUGUCUAUAAUACCAUUACUGUACCACUUCAAAAAGUUAAAGCAAACUGAAAUACAAACGUGAUAAAAUAAUUAUGUUCAGCUGAGAACCACAACUAUAUAGUGCUUUACAUUAGUUUAUGUGCCUAUCACAGAUGAAACGCCAUUUCAUGGGAAAUCUCUCCCUCACGACCAAAGGAAAAACAGAUCUGGGAAGCCAAGCGCACACCGCCGGUUACCCCCUUUCCAGUGUUCCUCGUCUCCUUCUUAUGUAUCUUCUGUUCUCCAUUCCUCUCACUUCGUCUCUGAUUGGUAUGCUCGUUGUUCUAGGUUUGUCUCAGACUCCUGUGAGUUUCCUUAGCGGUGGCUCCGUUUGGAUAGCGUCGGUCUCCUCUGAGUGACGGCGAUGCUGGUUUUGUGGGGUUAGAGCUGUUGGGUUUUGUUCAUGAGUGAUGACGGCUAGGGUUUCCGCUGGUCAGAUCUUUGUUUCCGGGAGUGAGAGCAGGCGUAUCUCACUAAUCUACGACAUCUAACUCAGAUUUCAGUCGGGUCUUUAUCAUUUUGCUAUAUCCGGGUCAGUUCCUUGGAGGUGUUGAUGAGUUAGGCCACUGCAUGCAUCUCUCUAUUUAGAUCUACCAGUUGGUGUGGUUUUAGCCAUUGGUUUAAGGCUCUGGUAGGGAGUAGAGAGAAUGGGUCGCGGUCUUAUCAACUUUGAUCAUCAUUCCUCAGUGGCAGCGUGUUUCAGCUCUCGUGUCAUUGGAGUUUUUGCGGUAGGUUGUUAUUCACCUAUUUGGGCUUUAUGAGAUGCUGGAUGGAAGCAUAUCCUCUUUUUGAAUUCUCAUUGGUGUGGUGAGCGUAGUCAUCAUCCUCUGAAAAAAUAAAAGCUUUAGUAACUAGCCAAGACAGAGGAGAUUUCUAGGUAGUAGGUUUGGUCGGUGGGGAAAAAAUUGAACAAUUGUCUUGAUCUGAAUCCUGUGGUGGAUUUCCUCGGGGGAUUAUGCUCAGACCGGUCUGACUUUUUAUUUUGGGUUUUAAUAGAAAUGACAAUGCCUAACUAGUAGCAGAAAUGCAGUCUGGUUAAUGCAGAUCGCAGAAACUUUGACUCCAUUUGACUCAACCAGUAAUGACAGAAAUGACAAAGCCUAACUAGUAGCAGAAAUGACAAAGCCUAACUAGUAGCAGAAAUGACAAAGCCUAACUACUAGUUAAGCUUUCUCUCUCUCCUCUCUCCCAAGCGACCAAGCGAACAAGUAAACAACAAAUCUCCGCCACGUUUUGCUCCGGCGUACGGAGGCUUCGGACCCGCGUCCGGUGCACGUUAACUCCAACGCCGGAGGCUUGUCUCUAAUCCUUCUUCUACGAUUUCCCCUUUGUUCUUCCGUCGCUUCUUCAUCCCUUUCGCUUUGCUUGUGUUUUGUGUGUCUGAAGCUUUCCUGGAGGCAACUUCGCUGCAGAGAAGAUACGUGCUGGUGCGAGUCCUUUAGGCAUGAAGCUACGGCGCGUUGGGGUCUGGCGGUGCAGGCGGAGGAGUCGGCGUUUAGGGUUAUGGAGGUGAUACCUUUAGCUACUUCCAGAUUUGGUCGCCCGUGGAGGCGUACGGCUGGUUACUUUCUCAGAUCUGGUUCUCGAUCUACUCGAUUUGAGAUCCAUUGGUCUGAGGCGUAGCGGCGGUGAUGGAGGUUCCGUGCUCUACCCUCGGCGUCUUGGUUAGGGUAGGUUCUUCUUCGUCUCCGCCAUAGGUGUUUUGGAGCUCCGUUUAGCUCGAUUGCGGGUUUUAUCCAAAGGUGGUGGUGUGUGCCUCUACUUGCAGUGGUGGCUCGUGGAAAAACCUUUAGCGUGAUUUUGGUAUUGGUCGUCUAUGGCCGUACUGAUGCGUUGUUGUUACCUCCCUCCUAUCUGGCCUCUCUUCCCGGCGUGUGUUCUGGUCCGUCCUUGAACCUGUGUCGACUGGUUUCUAUGGAUCUCUACUCGUGUUUGUAGUGUUAUGAUUGCUCUGUAGCUACCGGAAGUAUUCUUGACGUUUGUAACCUUUCGUCCUUAGGUGCUCCAAGGCGACGGUUGGUGACGGUCGUGAAGUUCUUGCUUGGUCAAUAGGUCUUCAUGGUUCCGUCGGUGGCUCCAUCCGGUGCUGUGCACAUCCCAGUGCCUUGGCCUCCUCUUUGAUGCCAUGGUAGUGUUAGCGGCUCUUGCUUUCUUUCAGGUCUCCGAGCAGGUUCUGGUUCAUGCGCUGCGGCCAUCUCGUUCCUGACUUCUUGUUUUUCCGUUCUUGGUAUGGAGAUCUCUGUAUCUCUUGGCCUUGACCGGGUUGGCGCUGAUGAAGUUUGUAUAGCGGGAAUUGGAUCCAUUUUCAGGUUUGUGCUCUAAUUCCCUUCUUCGUUAGCGUUUGCGCGUAAGAAGGUAACGGUUAUAAGUUUCGAGGAGAUCAUCGAGACCUAGCUACUCCAAAAGGCGACACGGAAACUCCUGGCAUCCGAGGCAACGAGGAGAACCUCACUUUCUCUUGAUUAUCGUUGAUGGAAGAGAACAGGAAUCGAUUUCUAAUGUUUACUAAAAGCAUAUUAGCGGAACGUGUCGGGUUUAGUGGGUGGGCGAAGCUAGUUUGUAAUUCGUUAGACUAGGAAACUUUUGUUUGAAUCGAGUUUGUAACCGAAACUUAUUCCCGUUUUUCGGGCUGAUUUAUAAUAUAUGUUAUUUGAAAAAAAAAAUGGUAAUUAAUUUUAACAUGUUUACCGAAUAAAGAAAUUCAUUUCAUGAUGCACCGUAAUGUCUUAAAGCCACUCCAGUAGUAAACUUUGACUCAGCCAGUAAUGCAGUCUGGUUAAUUAUAAAAACGUAUCGUUCUUUUCCUGUUUGCUUCGCAGCUUCGAGAGCUCAUGGUGGUAACUGUCCUUGAGGAAUCACACCUAACAUAUACACACAAGAAUUAAAAACCUACAAGUAACGGUGAGAUUAAUUUUGUCAAAGAAAAAAAACGUUGGUGAGAUUAAUGAAAUAAAAUUUUAAAAUCAUAGUUAAAUUAAUUUUAAAUAAAUAUAUUAAUUGUAUAAUCAGAGAGAUUUAAUUGGGUUAACACUACAAAAAAAGGAAUGGUAGGGAAUGAAAAGGAAAAAUUAUUCCUUUUUUAAGAAUUGUUAGGGAAUGCAUUUGUUCCUCGUUGUUCCUUGGUCACUAUUCAUACCCUAAUAUUAUUACUAAGUGGACAACAUGCCUAAAAUGAUUUUAAGGGGACUGUAGAUAAUUUUUUUUAAUUUAAUAUCAGCAAAAUUCCGUAUUUAUUUUAUUAUCUAUUUAUUUUAAAUUCUUGUUCUAUUUUUACUGUUUAGAUCGGUUUAUGCGGUACCGUUCAUUAGGAUCCAAGGACACCAAAUCAGUUUGAUUCAGUUUAGUUACUUUGAUGUUCAAAAUGUUAAUAUUUUUAAAAAAUCUAUAAAAAAAAUUUUAGUUUGUAAGGUAAAUAUGUUGUGAAAGAAAAAAAGGGUAUGAAAAACUUAGUAAAUCUAUCAUAAUAAGGCACACAUGUGCGGGAUAAAUUUCACUAGGAAAAAAAUAUAUAUUAUAAAACCAGGGCGGAUCUGCGCGUGUAUUGGUUUUUAUGAAAGAUAUAAUUUUGUGUAAAUUUUCAUUAGGUUUAGUUGGUUGUGGGGGUGAUUAUUUUAAGCGAUUAGUGUUGUAUACACCAAAUUACAAUUAUAUAAUAAAAGUGACAUGAGAGCAUUCUCAGUAUUGUUGUUGAUUUGAUUCACAGUUGCAAAAUUUUAUAUUUUUAUAAUACUCAUAACACUUUUCUACAGUUAAACCUUGAGCAUUAUAAGUUAAAUCAAACGAAAUCGAUCAAAAGAUGAUGAGAUUUUUUUUUUUUGAAUGAAUGUAAAAUAUUAUUCAAUCAAACUGUACUACAUCAAGUGCUACUGCUUUAUUUUUUGUACAAAAAAUCAAAAAAAUGGAGACUUGAUUCAAACUACCAGUCUCAUCUAGACCCAAUCCAAACCAUCAAACUCUCUUCAAAAUGUUUGUGCCCUGUUCCUUUGACUGAAAGGAGCUUGAGCCUGACUGUCUUGUCGAUAAACUGGACCAAAUGAGCUGCAUCAUGUGGCUGUUUGCCAUGCCUAUGCAAGUUUCUCUCUCUCCAUAUCGCAUGAAGAGUUGCUUGGAGAGUGUAGCGGAUGAGGAAUGUCAUUGUUGGAUUAAGCCAAGGUUUGGAAAUAAUUUCAACUAGCUCAUUCCAAUCUGCAGUGUAUCCCUCCUGCAUCAUUCCUCCUACUAGCUUCUUCCACACCUGUUCUGAGUAGUGGCACUUGAAAAAGAGGUGAGAGCAUGAUUCCUGAGUGUCGUUACAGAGGACACAUGUGGUGUUGAGUCCCGUUAUCCAAAGUUGCAUUUGAUCCAGAGUUUGGAGUCUACCACGCAAUGCAAGCCAAAGAAAGAAGGAGUAUUUUGGAGUUGAUUGGGGAAACCAAACUCCUUUUGCUCCAGGUACAGGUUUGGGAGUUGCCUCGGAUCUGUUCCCAGGUUCUCUUUGAGGAGAAUUUGGUUACAAAUUUGUCAUCGGCUUGUCUCCACAAAGAUAAUGAGAUUAAGUUUUCAAAUACCAUUGUAUUUGCUUUUUUACGAGGGUAUUUAAUAUAGUGGAGAAUGAGGUUUUAAUUUAGAGGAAUUAUUUGUCAAAGAUAUUAUAUAGUUGCAUUUGGAAAAUGUUAGUAAUUGCUAUUAUUAACAACUAUUGUUUUUUUUUGGUAUUUAUGUUACAUUUGAGGGUUUUUAUUUUGCUUUAUGUUACGGUGCCAUUAUAAUGGGUUAUUAUCGUUACUGAAUGUAUUGUUACAUAACUAAUUACUACGUUGAUUAGUUGACUAAAGAUUCAUAAUUAUUUUUUUCCUU